GGGCUGGUGUGUGUUUGCACUGGAGAAGGGAGGCAGCGGGCGAAACGCGCCUUGAGCGGGGGAGCCGCGUUGCCUGUAGAGAUCCGCGGAGGCCGACAGGAUUCGUUGGCUGCCUUCCCCGCUGACGUGCACUGGGUUAAAAACGCCAACUAAAGCCAACCAUGAAAGAUCCAGGUCGCAGCAGUACUAGCCCAAGCAUCAUCAAUGAAGAUGUGAUUAUUAACGGUCAUUCUCAUGAAGAUGACAAUCCAUUUGCAGAGUACAUGUGGAUAGAAAAUGAAGAGGAAUUCAACAGACAAAUAGAAGAGGAGUUGUGGGAAGAAGAAUUUAUUGAACGUUGUUUCCAAGAAAUGCUGGAAGAAGAAGAACAUGAAUGGUUUAUUCCAGCUCGAGAUCUCCCACAAACUAUGAACCAAAUCCAAGACCAAUUUAAUGAUCUUGUUAUCAGUGAUGGCUCUUCUCUGGAAGAUCUUGUGGUCAAGAGCAAUCUGAAUCCAAAUGCAAAGGAGUUUGUUCCUGGGGUGAGGUACUAAAAUAUUUGAGUAGACAGGGCCCUCUUUUGGUGGAUAUAGCACAAUUUCCACACUGUGAAGGCAGUAUUAGAAGACUUAAUUGUAAAAACUCUCUUGUCACUGUGUUACACUUAUGCAUUGCCAAAGUUUUUGUUAGUCUUGCAUGCUUAAUAGUGCUGAGACUGUUACUAAGUAAAAAGCUGUCAAACAUUUACUGAAAAUAUAAUUGGGCUCAUGGCUUAAUGUAAAGACAGCAAGGAAAGAAGCACCAGUCAAGUUGUGACAAAUCACCAAAUUAAACUCUAAAUCUUACAAAAUUGUCAUCUUUGAGGUUAAACUCGUCCCUUAGGAUUAACUAACACUUCUUAAUGUCUACACUUUGAAGCAAUGAGUAAAUUUAAAUACAUUCCAGAUUUCUCAGUUGCAUUUGUCCUUAGCAGUCCUCCCUCAAGGAUAUUCUGAUGGAGGGCAGCCUCAUCUCCGUAGUUUGUUCAAGGCCAAUCUGAACUAUAGAUAGCAAGACCCUGUCUCCAAAAAAUCCUUGCAGAUUUUCCUGAAAAUGUCUGUUAAUUUGAAAUAAUUCUGUCUUUGGUGACUGAGGUAAGGUAAUAACAAGAAAGAGCUAGUUCUAGCUUUUCUGGUAUAUAAUCAUGUUAGAAAUCCUGAAUUUUUCUAAUGAUAAAUUUGAAGAAUAUGUGAUUUGAGAAUUGUGGGUUCUGACGAUUCACUUCAUCACAGCCAUACUUGGGUGAAAUAUGUCUAAUUUGGGAC